UACGAAGGGGCUAGCGUGUUCGGAAUUACUGGGCGUAAAGCGCACGUAGGCGGAUAUUUAAGUCAGGGGUGAAAUCCCGGGCUCAACCCCGGAACUGCCUUUGAUACUGGGUAUCUCGAGUCCGAGAGAGGUGAAUGGAAUUCCGAGUGUAGAGGUGAAAUUCGUAGAUAUUCGGAGGAACACCAGUGGCGAAGGCGGCUCACUGGCUCGGUACUGACGCUGAGGUGCGAAAGCGUGGGGAGCAACAGGGAUUAAGAUACCCGG
rnacentral:rRNA from 1 species